GUCGGGAUGCUCCCAGGCUAUAAAUAUUUGUCCCCCACAACCUCUUGUUGCUUGGCUGCUCCGAGAGAAACUGACACUAGUCAUUUAGAGCAACCCAAAUUCCUCAGAGUCUUCGAGAGAAAAUCAUCAAAUGAGGAAAUACCCCAAACACCAAACCCAAACCAAAAACCCAAGUGAUUGAGCAUCACUGAAGAAGUUGUUCCUGUGUGGAACCGACGCUUGUUACC
rnacentral:lncRNA from 1 species